rnacentral:tRNA from 1 species
GGAGAGAUGGCUGGGCGGUCCGAGCGCUGGUCUAAGGCACCAGUCCCUCCGGGGGCGCGGGUUCGAAUCCCGCUCUCACUA